rnacentral:rRNA from 1 species
UGGGGAAUAUUGCACAAUGGGCGCAAGCCUGAUGCAGCCAUGCCGCGUGUGUGAAGAAGGCCUUCGGGUUGUAAAGCACUUUCAGCGAGGAGGAAGGUGGUGAGCUUAAUACGCUCAUCAAUUGACGUUACUCGCAGAAGAAGCACCGGCUAACUCCGUGCCAGCAGCCGCGGUAAUACGGAGGGUGCAAGCGUUAAUCGGAAUUACUGGGCGUAAAGCGCACGCAGGCGGUUUGUUAAGUCAGAUGUGAAAUCCCCGGGCUCAACCUGGGAACUGCAUUUGAAACUGGCAAGCUAGAGUCUCGUAGAGGGGGGUAGAAUUUCCAGGUGUAGCGGUGAAAUGCGUAGAGAUCUGGAGGAAUACCGGUGGCGAAGGCGGCCCCCCUGGACGAAGACUGACGCUCAGGUGCGAAAGGCGUGGGGCAGCAAACAGGAUUAGAUACCCUGGUAGUCCACGCUGUAAACGAUGUCGAUUUUGGAGGUUGUGCCCCUUGAGGCGUGGCUUCCGGAGCUAACGCGUUAAAUCGACCGCCUGGGGAGUACGGCCNCAAGGUUAAAACUCAAAUGAAUUGC